rnacentral:rRNA from 1 species
AUUGAACGCUGGCGGCAUGCUUUACACAUGCAAGUCGAACGGCAGCGCGGGCUUCGGCCUGGCGGCGAGUGGCGAACGGGUGAGUAAUACAUCGGAACGUGCCCAGUAGUGGGGGAUAGCUCGGCGAAAGCCGGAUUAAUACCGCAUACGACCUGAGGGUGAAAGCGGGGGAUCUUCGGACCUCGCGCUAUUGGAGCGGCCGAUGGCAGAUUAGCUAGUGGGUGGGGUAAAGGCCUACCAAGGCGACGAUCUGUAGCUGGUCUGAGAGGACGACCAGCCACACUGGGACUGAGACACGGCCCAGACUCCUACGGGAGGCAGCAGUGGGGAAUUUUGGACAAUGGGCGAAAGCCUGAUCCAGCAAUGCCGCGUGUGUGAUGAAGGCCUUCGGGUUGUAAAGCACUUUUGGCGGGAACGAAAAGGACUGUGCCAAUACCACGGUUCGAUGACGGUACCCGCAGAAUAAGCACCGGCUAACUACGUG